GCUUCCCUAGCUCAGUUGGACAGAGCGCCGGAGUGAAAUCCCGGAGGUCAAUGGUUCGAAUCCAUUGGGUGGCA
rnacentral:tRNA from 1 species